GUCUAUGGCCAUACUACCCUGAACAGACUAAUAUCAUCUGAUCUCAGAAGCUAAGUAGGGUCAGAUCUGGUCAGUACUUGGAUAGAGAAGGUGACAUUAUGUCUAAAAGUCAUUAGUU
rnacentral:rRNA from 1 species